rnacentral:ncRNA from 1 species
AUAAUGAUAGUCGCCUAAUGGCGAUUUUUUUAUAGCCGAAAUCUAGUCAAAUCAAACCUUUCAAAGGUACCCCCAAAUUG